UGGCGCAAUCGCACUGCCCUCAGCUCGCCGCGGCGGUCCCCGCCGUCGCCGCGGUUGUCUUAGCGCAGGUGCGUCGCCCUUUCCCUCCGCUUUUACUGCGCCGAAUCGCCGCAGCGGCGCAGGCGCCACGGAGGGUUUGGGGGAUUUGCGGCGCCGAGGAAGCUCCCAUUACGCAGGGCGUACGUAGGCAGGCUUGGCCUUCGCCCAGCCCUGGCCGGCACUCCGGCUCUUCGCCGUUCCGCAGACGCAGUGGUAAUGCCUGGGACAUGCUGGCGCCCAUUAUAUAAAGUCAGUACUUAGAGGAACCCAACGAUCACUGUACUGAGACCAGAGAGAUGUCCCUAUGGAAGUUCAAAAAGAAAGCACCACGGAACACAGUGAAGAGCAGCCUCGUAACUUCUUGUAGUAAAGAUAGUAAAGACUUUCAUAGAGGUAUUUUUCUUAUAAUAUCUCUCAGUAUUGGCCAACAUGAUGUGGAGGUGAACAUCCCAAGUCACAGACAGGGCAAGAGAUGUGGAGAAGUGUUUCUCGGAGUCCUGGAGGAGGCUGUGUUAAGAAGGAAUGUUUAAGCUCCUGCUAUAACUUCAGUCAUCCUCAACUCUGGUGCUUUACUGCCAUGGGCAUGGAUCUCACAUUAACCAGUGAGUUAACAGGUGGAUACCAAGAACUUUCUGUUGCUCAGGAUUCUUUAGGCUCUGUGAGAGUGCAGAAAAGAAGAAGACAGGAUAUUGGCUUUCAAGAAAUUUACAAAGUAGUUUUGGAAGCAGUAUGUCCAGGCGUGGAUUACCCAACAAGCAAGGUAAGCAUGUGGUUAGGGCAUCAACAAAACAGAGACACCAGUUGUCCAAAGCAAAGACCCAUAGAUGCCAAGCAGACAGGACACAAGGAAAAGUGAGUGCUGCAGUGGAAAGGAACUGGCAAGGCAGUAAAUGAAAUCGACACCAGCUCCAGUGCAUCGGAAUGUGUCGGCUGGAAAUAAAAUUCACACAGGGUCAUGAGGGUGCCCAAGCGCAAGUUGUUUAAGCUAUGAGGCCCCUACCACUUCAACACCUUCAUUGACAUCUGUCUUCUACAGUCACCUCUCAUGUAAUUGAAAUUCCUUAUCUCAGCAGGUCUCUUGGGAGUAUACCAUUUUUUUCUAAUAAACGGGAGGUGGGGGUGGCCUGUCAAGUCUAACUCUUGCUACAUUUACCCAGUAUGCAACUGGAUCCAACAUGAGUGUACUGGGCAAGGACAGGACAGAUUAUAUUAAUACAAAACAGGCCUCUGAUCCAUUUUGAGAGCCGUCUUAUACAUCCACAUCUGCUGGUGCAGCCAGGAGAGCCAGAUAUAUAUAUAUAUAUACAUAAAACUCACACCUUCGAUUCGAAUGCGUGAGUAAGCAGAGGCGAGGGGCACCACAGAUUAUCAGUGUUUAGGGCCCUCACAUGCCUUUAUCUGGGCCUGAGUAUGUCCUAGGCAUUAAAAUGCAGAAUUCAAGUCAUCCAGCUCUGAUCUGAAUCCCAAGACUACGGUUUCUUAGCUGUGUACUUUGAUCUCAGUUUUUUCAUCUGUAAAAUGGAAAUGAUAAAAAUAGCUAUCUCAUAGGGUUGCUAUGAGGAUUGUGGUACAAGAUAAAUCACUUAGCAAUGCCUGGCACAUAGUAAGUGCUCAAUAGAUGUUAUCUAUUAUGAUGAUGUUGAUGAUGAUGACUCCCAGGAAAGUCUGGACUGUGUAGGAACCUAAUAGCGCUUCCCUCAAAUCCUUCCUAGUCUUCUCAGACCUUGGGGAGGAAGGACCACUUUAUGGGUCUGGAGUGGACGGGUAGAAGAAGGUGGGCUUUGAGGACACCUUGAGGAGACACUGGUGACUUCCUGGAGAAGGCAGUCUGCCUGUCUUGGCUCAGUUCUGCACUGGGACUGUGUUGGGCUUGGAAACAAGACAACUAGGACUUCCUCUGCCUUUGAGGAAUUUGCUAGCUAGUUGGAAAUUCAAGAUAUAGUCACAAGAUGCAGCUUUAACAUAAUAAUGAAGCAGCAUAUUCAUUAACAAGAACAAAAUGGUAUGGUAAAAACUCAGCGUAAUUAUGAUAAAUGUUUAGGGAAAGAAAUGCUUGAAUAUAAGUCCAAUUAAUUCUGGACUUCCGGAUAAAAUUUCCUGUAUGUGUUACUAUGUGGCAAUCACAGCAGAGAGGUCUUCUUCUUACCCCUAGAACCCUGCCUCUCUGUCUCCCAUGUCUGGCUUCUCUCCUGACCAGUGAAAUAGAGUUCUGAAUCCUGCCAUAGCCUUCGGUGAUUUUGGAUGAAAGGCCAGAGUGAUUUUCUAGGGGAUCCACGUACUUGUUUUCAUACUUUAAAGUAGGGAAUGGUAGAAUAAUGGAUGAUGGAAGCUUUACUUUUAAAAGAACACGGUUGACAUUUGGUAACGGUUAACUCAGGCUUUUGCUGAGAACAGUGUUUAUUUUGCAGGCUUAAUGACAGGCCCGGCUUUCUGGGAGUGCUGGAAUAAAAGAGAUUCAGACAGAGGUUGUCAUGGCCUUCCUCCCCAGCAGGGCUGCUGCAGCCAGCAUUGCACGGGCAGUUCUACUGAGCUUGGGAUUUGGGUGUGAGAUGAGACACAGCUUUUUUUUUUUAAUUAACUUUUAUUGAGCUUCAAGUGAACGUUUACAAAUCAAGUCAGUCUGUCACAUAAGUUAAUAUACAUCUUACUCCUUACUCCCACUUGCUCUCCCCCUAAUGAGUCAGCCCUUCCAGUCUCUCCUUUCGUGAAAACUUUGGCAGCCUCCAACUCUCUCUAUCCUCCCAUGCCCCCUGAGACACAGCUUUUGUUGGACAUUUUUAACCGUCUAUGUGGUUUUGCCCUUUGAAUAAAUGCGUGCGUUCAGCAGUAGCCUUGAUCUCUUUGCCUCAUUCUCUUAUUUGAUUAUGAGAAGAAAAGCAAAAACAAAAUGAAAAACAUGGUUGUGGUACUAUUUAGUUAAAAACAUCACUUUAGUAUUAAAGGUGCCAU